rnacentral:misc_RNA from 1 species
GUAGGUGAACCUGCGGAAGGAUCAUUAACAAAAUCUACAACACUAACCAUGUUGAACUGUUGGGCAAGCGGAGGGGGGGUAGAGAGUCAAAGGACAGCAAGAGGACGACCCCCAAGGAUCAUCGAUCUUCUCCCCUUAGGGGGGGAGGGAGAGAAUUCUAGUCGGUCGGCCGUCGCAUCUCUGGCCUUUGGUCUACCUGGAGGGCAAGAGGGGGGGAGGGCGUUGCGGUCUACCGCCUCACCCACCCUCU